rnacentral:rRNA from 1 species
AUACGGAGGGUCCGAGCGUUAUCCGGAAUCAUUGGGUUUAAAGGGUCCGUAGGCGGGAAUCUAAGUCAGUGGUGAAAUCUUGCAGCUCAACUGUAAAAUUGCCAUUGAUACUGGAUUUCUUGAAUUAGUGUGAAGUGGUUAGAAUGUGUAGUGUAGCGGUGAAAUGCAUAGAUAUUACACAGAAUACCAAUUGCGAAGGCAGAUCACUAACACUAUAUUGACGCUAAGGGACGAAAGCGUGGGGAGCGAACAGGAUUAGAUACCCCUGUAGUCC